GAUCCUGGCUCAGGAUGAACGCUGGCGGCGUGCUUAACACAUGCAAGUCGAACGAAGCACUUUAAUUGAUUUCUUCGGAAUGAAGUUUUUGUGACUGAGUGGCGGACGGGUGAGUAACGCGUGGGUAACCUGCCUCAUACAGGGGGAUAACAGUUGGAAACGACUGCUAAUACCGCAUAAGCGCACGGGAUUGCAUGAUCCAGUGUGAAAAACUCCGGUGGUAUGAGAUGGACCCGCGU
rnacentral:rRNA from 1 species